rnacentral:rRNA from 1 species
UUGGUCAAUAGUCUAACGACUGAACCAGCAACUAGAGGGAAUGAAAAAUUGUAUUAUACAAUACAAAAUGUAUUAACUCAUUAAAAUUCUGAGUAAUAUUUGAUAAUGACAUUUAUUACUCAAAUGUCUUGACCAAAUCAUGUGCCAGCAGUCGCGGCAAUACAUGGAAGACUAGUGUUAUUCAUCUUAAAUAGGUUUAAAGGGUACCUAGACGGUUAAAUAGACCUUAUAUAGGGUACAUAUUAACUAGAGUUUAAUGUAAAUUGGGCGGAUAGAACGAGUAGAGUAGAGAUAGAAUUCUUUGAUACACUCUGUAGACUGAUAAAGGCGAAAGCAACCUUUUAUGUAAAAACUGACGUUGAGGGACGAAAGCGACGACAAAUAAACAGGAUUAGUUACCCAAGUAAUGUGUGCUGUAAAUGAUGAAUGUCAUAUGUAAGAUAAAUAUUUUAUGUAUAAAUGAAAGUGUAAGCAUUCCACCUCAAGAGUACAGUGGCAACGCAGGAACUGAAAUCAUUAGACCGUUUCUGAGAACAGUAGUGAAGUAUGUUGUUUAAUUUGAUAAUCCACGGAAAACCUUACCACAAUUUGUAUUUAUAUAUAUACUUAUAUAUAAACAAGCGUUGCACGGCUGUCUUUAGUUAAUGUCGUGAGAUUAUGGUUAGAUUCAUAAAAUUAACGUAAACCCUUAUUUUAUUUUUAAUAAAAUAGUUUUUCAAUCUUUAUUGAAAAUUUAUAACAGGGAUCAAGACAAGUCAUCNUGGCCUUAACAUUGUGGGCUAUA